AACCCCCACCCUGUGCAAAGGGUUACCCCCAGGGGCCCCCUGAAAAAGGCGGUUUUUCAAUGGUCUAACCCUUUUAGGGAAUAAAAGGGGGGCAAGAUGGGUGUCCCCCGCCUCGGUAACACCACCCCCUCGAGUGGUGGGGAUGAUUAUUUGGCCUAAAGCGUCCGUAGCCGGCCGGGUAAGUCUCCCGUUAAAUCCAGCGUCUCAAGCGUUGGACUGCGGGAGAUACUGUCUGGCUAGAGAGUGGGAGAGGUGUACGGUAUUCUGGGGGUAGGGGCGAAAUCCUUUGAUCCCCGGAGGACCACCAGUGGCGAAGGCUGUACACUAGAACACGUCUGACGGUCAGGGACGAAAGCUGGGGUAGCGAACCGGAUUAGAUACCCGGGUAGUCCCAGCUGUAAACGAUGCACGCUAAGUGUUGGGGCGGCCACGAGCCGCUCCAGUGCCGCAAGGAAGCCGUUAAGCGUGCCGCCUGGGGAGUACGGCCGCAAGGCUGAAACUUAAAGGAAUUGGCGGGGGA
rnacentral:rRNA from 1 species